rnacentral:lncRNA from 1 species
CUGCCUGCUUGCUGUUGCUCAUGUUCUCUAUAAAUUCUCUAUGGUUUUUUGGUUUUAUAGAUGAAAAUUAGGAUCAAUUUGAGUAAGAAUCGGACUUUUAAUUAUUGUCAAACUCCUAGACCCCUGCCAGCCGUCGGAUGUUGAUCAAAUGGCCCAAAAACAGCUCAAAUCAGUCCUAUAACAGGUUGGCGACGAUUCUGGUCAUCGGAUCACAGUUGGGGUGUGAUAUGGGCCGUCGGAUGGUGCAACAAAAGCCUUUGUUUGAGUUCUCUCAGCCAACAGCUCCCUAGACCAUUCGAUCGCGCGCAAGAUCGCUUCUAGCUGUCCGAUCGUGCCAAAUAAGUGGGCCACCACUGCUGGAUAUGGUUAGAAAGAACCACAGCUGUCCGAUCGCAUGUUAGAUCGCCCAUCAGUCGUUGAUCAGUGCAUAAAAGCCUCUCACCCUUGUGAAUUGCGACGUGGACCGCGAUGGAUUUUUGUGGACCGUGUGCUCGCGCCUGUGGACCGACCAGUAGGUCCAUCAUGCAUCG